rnacentral:misc_RNA from 1 species
UCCGGCUUGCCACCGGCAGUUCCACUAGAGUGCCCAGCUUAACCUGCUGGCAACUAGUAGCGAGGGUUGCGCUCGUUGCGGGACUUAACCCAACAUCUCACGACACGAGCUGACGACAGCCAUGCAGCACCUGUGUUCCCGCCAGCCGAACUGAAGGCCGCCAUCUCUGGCAGCCAUACGGGACAUGUCAAACGUGGGUAAGGUUCUGCGCGUCGCUUCGAAUUAAACCACAUGCUCCACCGCUUGUGCGGGCCCCCGUCAAUUUCUUUGAGUUUUAACCUUGCGGCCGUACUCCCCAGGCGGAGAGCUUAAUGCGUUAGCUGCGUCACCGACAGGCAUGCCUGCCGACAACUAGCUCUCAUCGUUUACAGCGUGGACUAC